CAUUUUUUUUUUGCGAUGUUCCCGAACGGAGAAACCUAAGAUGCACAUAAAGUUCUGCCAUUCCCGAUUACACCCGAACAAUUCACCUUCGGCCAACCUCGGGUUUAUUUAUUAAUAUUUCUCUGUUUAUUUUAAUGUAGCUAUACUAACCUAACUAACCAUCCAAAUGGUUUUAAAGUGUUUUAAUGUAGCUAACCUAUCCGACCACUUUUAAUAUUUCAAUUCAUUUUUCCUGCGCAAAAAUAAAUAAAUCCCGAGGUUGGCCGAAGGUGAAUAUUCGGGUGUAAUCGGGAAUGGCAGAACUUUAUGUGGAUCUUCUCACGUGAACGAAUACAUCAUGUAAAAAGAAACUUACGCACCCCUCGUCCCCUGCCACGACGGCCAACACCCUAGAUCUGAGUUCGAGCCGAGCCCAACCUGCACCAGCAAUCACCGGGGACCAGACAGAGGGAGUGGGGAGCUCGACAAUAUUAUGGAGAAGCCCUGGUGGACGGCGGCGCGAGAUUGCCGAGGCUCAGCAUGCAGCGCCGCACCGACUGCUGGCAAAGGUGGUAGUCACGGAACGGAGGGGCCAGAGUCUCGUCCAGGAGCUGCAGCACUUGCAGGAACUUGACCAGCGCUGCGGUCGUCUGCCCGCCCUCCAGCAAGCGGCCGGCUGCUCGGAACAUGGCGUCCGUAUCCUGCCAAGACAUGCAUCUCGCCCAUUAGGCCUGCGACCCUCAUACUUUCUAGAACUGCAGGUAUUAUUUUAACAAGAGUCUCAUAAAAUGGUGUGUCUUUAAUUACUAUUUUUGAGAUAGUAUUUAUAAAGACAGUUUAUUGUAGACAUUUUUGUAAUAAGUGCACUGUUUUGGACUCUCAAGUGGAUAAUGAUGUAACUGCAGUGUGACAGUGUGACACCAGCGCCAUCAGGCGGAGAGUUGUGAAGGCAGUGCGAGUGACACUUAAUAAACUUUUGUGCAGGCAAAAUACAUGAAUAUAACUAGUGAACUAUGACCAUGGUGCACUGCAUGGUUUUUCAUACAAUGAAGAAUUGUGCAAACGUACAAUGACUCUACCUCUUCAAAAUUACUACGCUUGUGUGUUUGUGUGUGGCACACGCUAGGCACUGUCAGCUGACUUGAGUGUCUGUGGCAUUCGUGUAUUCAACCGGUAAGGUUGCAGACUGCCUGUCCUUACAAGUUGGUCAUCCUACAAAGUGAUUGACGUCCAUGUACUGUUAUAAUUCUAGAACUUGUGAAAUUUAAAAUUUUGGCCACAUAAACUUUCAUUUACUAUAGGUCCAAAAGUUGGAACUGAGACCUGUAAAAUGUGCUUGCCUUUUAGAACAUUUUUUUUUUUUUUAACUUAUACUUCUUUAGGCAUGUUAUGGAGAAUGAAUUUUUAUGACGCCACGCACCAUUCACAGGAUUAAAAAAAAGCUAUAUACAAAUAAAAAUAUAUAUAUGCUUUUAAAUCUUAUACUUACUUUAGUGAUUGGUAUUGAACACUUGUCCUUACCAUUAAAAACAUUUAUUUAUUGUGACUAUUAGUGAUAGAAAUUGUGUUUAUUAACUUUUUCUAGUGUAUUUAUAUAAGUGAGGUUAUGUUCCUCUGUGUUUAGCGAUGUCAGGUUGCUUGUAAGCUUCCAUUGUCGCUGGCAGGGAGUAUCUGUGGAAAGUUUAGUAGUCUCCUGGCCGUUUUCAUAGGAGUGUUUGGGAGGUUAUUUUCUUGUAUGUAUAAUGUAUUUGCAUUAUUAUGUAAUAAAUAUUUGAAAUUAAUAAAUUAGAAUAAACA